rnacentral:ncRNA from 2 species
CACUAGCUUCGCCGCGACGGUUCCUUCGGGAUCAAAAGGGAAUGCGGUGAGGGCUUCGGCCCGAUGCCGCGGCUGUCCCCGCAACUGUGAGCGGCGAGUCCUUCGUCAUUUGGCCACUGGGCUCUCGGGCCUGGGAAGGCGGCGAAGGCGCGACGACCCGCAAGCCAGGAGACCUGCCGUCAGUCGUGGUCACAC